rnacentral:lncRNA from 1 species
GUGAAAGGUGAACCGCGUUACAGUGAGGGACCACUGUAAUGUUGAAGUUCCAAGACAUGCUUGGAAGGUUAACUGGUAAUUCAGCUGGAGAUGCCCCUGCAGCCAGAGUUGGAGAUGUCAGGAUCCUGGGUCUGAUUAUGGUUUGGGGAAUUUUUAGGUUCUUCCCCAUUAACAGCUUGCCCUGUGUUUCUCUAGGUCCAUGUCACCAUCUACUCUCAUUCAUGCUAAAGAUCAUGACCACACUAU